UACGGAGGGAGCUAGCGUUAUUCGGAAUUACUGGGCGUAAAGCGCACGUAGGCGGCUUUCUAAGUCGGGGGUGAAAUCCUGGAGCUCAACUCCAGAACUGCCUUCGAUACUGGAAAGCUCGAGUCCGGGAGAGGUGAGUGGAACUGCGAGUGUAGAGGUGAAAUUCGUAGAUAUUCGCAAGAACACCAGUGGCGAAGGCGGCUCACUGGCCCGGUACUGACGCUGAGGUGCGAAAGCGUGGGGAGCAAACAGG
rnacentral:rRNA from 1 species